rnacentral:misc_RNA from 1 species
GGGCAAUUCUCGGAAAUGUAGACCGUAAAGGUGCAUGAGUGGUGUUUGGUUUGUUACGGGUGGUUGGCUCUUUGCUUGCGCAACAACUUCCACCUGGCUUACCUCUUCAUUUGUUGGUUAAGGUUUUCUAGCCUUAUUUAGUUGCGGGUUUCCUGUGUUGUCUACCAAUUUGACGGUAUCGUGCUUGGCUGAUCGAUGUUGCUUUUUGUCUUGCCAUAAAUGUGGCGUAAGAUGAACUUGAUUGCUUUCUCUAUGAGCCACAUUAUUUAUGUGUACAUUGAUGUUGUGGCUCAUUGAGCAUUGCUUGGUAUCCAUGAAUAUAGAACAUUUGUGGGCAUUGGGUCUCAUGGAUCCUUGUAUUGCUCUUAUCGAGUUGCUAUGCUUCUAAAAAUGACUUCUUGCUAUGUUUGGGCUUGUACCGACAUGCGAGUUUGUCAAUGAGGAAUGCUACCUGG